rnacentral:lncRNA from 1 species
AACGCUCACGCUACCGUCGUCUGCUAUGGCUGUGUAAUAACAUAUUUUUGCUGUGAUAUUUUUGUAAGUUUUCUCAUUAUUUUAUGUGUUUAUAACAAGUGAAAGAUUGAAGCCCAUUUUGGAAACCAUGAUGUGCGUCUAUGAUGAAGAUUACGAGUGACAAGUUAAAUGGGUGUUUGUUACGUUUCUCUGUUUUGUGUUUCAAAGGAUUUUUCGUCAAAAAAUUUACGAUUGCUUUUUGUAUGUGGUGGUGUUUCGCCUUGUCAGCUAUGCCAGCUGCUGAACAAACAGCCUGCAUUCCUGCUAUCAAUGUACCACAAGGGAUCCUGACACUUUAAGAAGGCCACUUUUCCCCUCCAGACCUCCCAAGUGUGUCAUUCUGAUGCAGAGCUCUUGAAAUGAAGUUGAACAUUUUGAACCAUCUCAGGCCAAAGCUCAAGGUAUUAGAAAAGUGGUCGCUUUUGAUUAGAGUUUCUUUGCCGUCCGGUGCAUCAAUCGGAAUGAUGUUCACUUCCUCGACGUCAUUCCUCACGUAAUUAAUAACUUUGUGCUUCGAAAAAAGUUGUACUAAUCUUCAAAUUUUAAAAGAAAACUUUGAUGCCUUAUUCUUAUCUCGAGGUUAUAUCGACCUUCAAAGGCAAAUCGGAAGAGGGUAUUCUUUUCCUUGACAUAAAGAACGGAAAUGUUAUGCAUUAACAAGUCAUCCGCAUCCAAACAGAUGAAACGCACGAGGUAUUCCGCUUCGUCCGGCAACUUACUAUCCAGCAACGCAUCCAUCUACGCAUCCAUCAACAAAAUGUAUUAAAGAGAAAAGUAAUGACCAAAUGCCGAUUGGACGAUUUCCAUGCAAGAUGAAUGUUAAAAUCCAACGAGAUCUGGCGAGGAGGAGGCAACGGACUAUGUCAUGUCAAACCAUUAGCUGAAUACAAUGAAUACUAUCAGUUCUCCAUAACGAGAGGUUAAUAAUCAUACUGAAUCAAAAGAGGUACAUACUUGAACGAGAUUU